ACGGGUGAGUAACACGUGGGUAACCUACCUAUAAGACUGGGACAACUUCGGGAAACCGGAGCUAAUACCGGAUAAGAUAUCGAACCGCAUGGUUCGAUAGUGAAAGAUGGUUUUGCUAUCACUUAUAGAUGGACCCGCGCCGUAUUAGCUAGUUGGUGAGGUAACGGCUCACCAAGGCAACGAUACGUAGCCGACCUGAGAGGGUGAUCGGCCACACUGGAACUGAGACACGGUCCAGACUCCGUACGGGAGGCAGCAGGA
rnacentral:rRNA from 1 species